UUGGUCAAUGGCCUAACGGCUGAACCAGCAACUUGGGGGAAUGUAACCAUAUGUAGAAAUACAUAUGUGUGUCGACUACGUCGUAUAAAGUUCUAGAUAGAUUACUGAUAAUGACAAUUAUCUAUCUAUAUGUCUUGACCAAAUCUCGUGCCAGCAGUCGCGGCAAUACGAGGAAGACUAGUGUUAUUCAUCUUUAUUAGGUUUAAAGGGUACCUAGACGGUAUAUCAAGCCCCCUAAAGGGAACUGAUAUACUAGAGUUUUAUGUGAGAGGUAUAUAUUAGUACUAUUGGUGUAGAGAUGAAAUUCUUUGAUACUUAUAGGACGGAUAACAGCAAAAGCAAACCUUUAUGUAUAAACUGACGUUGAGGGACGAAGGCUUGGGUAGCGAAUAGGAUUAGAUACCCUAGUAGUCCAGGCAGAGAAUUAUGAAUGUUAUAGACUGGCCUCUUAGCUUGUGUAUAAAUGAAAGUGUAAGCAUUCCACCUCAAGAGUAAUGCGGCAACGCAGGAACUGAAAUCAUUAGACCGUUUCUGAAACCAGUAGUGAAGUAUGUUAUUUAAUC
rnacentral:rRNA from 1 species